GGGUUGUGAGGUUAAGCGACUAAGCGUACACGGUGGAUGCCCUGGCAGUCAGAGGCGAUGAAGGGCGUGCUAAUCUGCGAUAAGCGCCGGUAAGGUGAUAUGAACCGUUAUAACCGGCGAUACCCGAAUGGGGAAACCCAGUGUGACUCGUCACACUAUCAUUAACUGAAUCCAUAGGUUAAUGAGGCGAACCGGGGGAACUGAAACAUCUAAGUACCCCGAGGAAAAGAAAUCAACCGAGAUUCCCCCAGUAGCGGCGAGCGAACGGGGAGGAGCCCAGAGCCUGAAUCAGCAUGUGUGUUAGUGGAAGCGUCUGGAAAGGCGCGCGAUACAGGGUGACAGCCCCGUACACAAAAGCGCAUGUGCUGUGAGCUCGAUGAGUAGGGCGGGACACGUGAUAUCCUGUCUGAAUAUGGGGGGACCAUCCUCCAAGGCUAAAUACUCCUGACUGACCGAUAGUGAACCAGUACCGUGAGGGAAAGGCGAAAAGAACCCCGGCGAGGGGAGUGAAAAAGAACCUGAAACCGUGUACGUACAAGCAGUGGGAGCACCCUUUUGGGUGUGACUGCGUACCUUUUGUAUAAUGGGUCAGCGACUUAUAUUCUGUAGCAAGGUUAACCGAAUAGGGGAGCCGGAGGGAAACCGAGUCUUAACCGGGCGUUAAGUUGCAGGGUAUAGACCCGAAACCCGGUGAUCUAGCCAUGGGCAGGUUGAAGGUUGGGUAACACUAACUGGAGGACCGAACCGACUAAUGUUGAAAAAUUAGCGGAUGACCUGUGGCUGGGGGUGAAAGGCCAAUCAAACCGGGAGAUAGCUGGUUCUCCCCGAAAGCUAUUUAGGUAGCGCCUCGUGAAUUCAUCUCCGGGGGUAGAGCACUGUUUCGGCUAGGGGGCCAUCCCGGCUUACCAACCCGAUGCAAACUGCGAAUACCGGAGAAUGUUAUCACGGGAGACACACGGCGGGUGCUAACGUCCGUCGUGAAGAGGGAAACAACCCAGACCGCCAGCUAAGGUCCCAAAGUCAUGGUUAAGUGGGAAACGAUGUGGGAAGGCCCAGACAGCCAGGAUGUUGGCUUAGAAGCAGCCAUCAUUUAAAGAAAGCGUAAUAGCUCACUGGUCGAGUCGGCCUGCGCGGAAGAUGUAACGGGGCUAAACCAU
rnacentral:rRNA from 1 species